GUGCAGUUUAGGCCAGGCAUGGCAAGGAUAGGCCAGGCCACGGCAGGCCAGGCAAUGCAAGGCUAGGCACGACCAACACAAUCAAGGCAAGGCCCGGCCACGCAAGUCAAGGCAAUGCCAAGCAAGGCAAGGCAAGGCAAUGACAAACCAGUCCAAGCUUACGAAGGCCAGGCAAGGCCAGGCCAGUCCGGGCAAGGUAAGGCAAGGCAAGGCCAUGCAAGGCAAGGCAAGGCCAGGCCAUGAAAGUCCAGGCCAGGAGAGGCAAGGCCAGGAAAGGCCAGGGAACACAAGGCAAGGCAAGGCAAGGCCAGGAAAGGCCAGACCAGAUGAGGCGAGGCCAGGACAGGCCAGGACAGCCCAACCAGGUCAGGAAAGGCCAGGCAAAGCAAGGCAUGGCCAGGCCAGCAAGGCAAAGCAAGGCCAGGCCAGUCCAUGCCAGGUCAGGACAGGCCAGCCCAGGCCAGGCACAGCCAGGCGGGGCAAGGCAAGUCAAGGCCAGACCAGGACAGGCCAAGGCAGUCCAGGCAUGGCCAGGCCAGUCCAGGUAAGGCAUGGAGAGGAAAGGCCAGGCAAGUUUAGGCGAGGUAAGCAAAGGUCAGAU
ensembl:lncRNA